GCUUCCUGAGAAAGAGAACAGGGGGAAUACACUUCUGUGUCUUUCUAUAUAAAAAAAGCUUUAUACUCGUCUCGUAUGAUGUCUUCAUACACUCGAUGUGCCAUCCUCUGGCCCUCCCCCUUCCCUUCCCAUUUCUUUCUUCUUAGGAGUUUACGCCUUUUUUUCCCCUGUCAUUUAAUUGGCAUGUAACACCGGGGCAGAGAUGAAUGCACAUGUUUAGGCUCGUGUUAAGCAGAAGUCUCAUAAUGUGUGUGUAUUUAAUGGACUCCUUAUUUCAAUGCCGGUUCUCAUUAUUUGUGCAGGGUACUGCAUUUUGCAGAGUGAGCCCACCUCUGUGCCAGGCCGGCCCUGUUCGGUUGGCACUGUGGUGCACCCCUGAGAGCCGAUGAAAUGGAGAGUCAUAGAAGUGAAGUAACUUUCCCCAGACCACACAGUUUAAAGGCCAGAGCUGAGGUUCGAAGGCAAAUCUGAAUCAAAGACUGCUCCCUUUCUGCCCACCUGCACCGAUAGCCAAAGCCCCAGAGACAAGGCCCAUCACGGCCCUAUAUGGAUUAGCCCUGGGAGGCGCCGUGGCAGCCGGGGUGACUGAGAUGGGCACCGCGGAAGAGGGGACGAAUGAGGAUGGCAAAGAUAAACGGGCAGUGUAACUCCAGGCAGAGUGAGUCGCCGGGGCAGGUGGCUGGUGCCCGCUGGGGUACAGCAGGUAGCAACCUGGGGCGAGAUCCAACCGCAGGAAGAAGGGGUUAGAGUCCGAGGCUCCACCCCCGUGACCCUAAGUGACCUUAGGCAACUUACGUCUCUAAGAAUCUGCCUCGCUGCGAAGUGGGGGCCAUAACAGUUUCUUCAAAGCGCUAUUUGAAGGGUUAAAUAAUAUGUUAUAUGUGAAUGUUCACUGUGUUAACUUUAGAGCACUUAAUAAAUAUAAAAUAUUCCUCUGAUCAGCCUAGAAGGAUCAAUUAUGAUUAUGAAAGGCCUUAAAUUCCAACCUGAUGAAUCUUCUCAUUUUUAUAGGCAAAGGAGAAACGGAAAAUACGUCUGAUGGGGGAGUGGCAGUGUGGCGGAUAAAGCGAACCUCUGCUAGAAUAUCUUGCCCCUGACAUAUCAUUGUGCUUAUCGGUGAUUUACGAUCAACUGCUUUCCACUAACCGGUGGGCUUCUUGCGGGCAGCAUCAUGUGCUCGACAGCUUUCUAGCCAAAUGCCGAGCAAGGAUUGGUGCCCUGCGGGAGGCUGGAAUCUAUUUAAAAUGAGGCCAGCAUCAGCGGUACAAAGGCCACCCUCUGGCAGCCCAGGAAGAAUGUGCUGUAAUCAACAUUCUGGGAAGACUAGACAAGAAUGGAGAAGUCACCCACACCGGGAGCCCCAGGGAGCUUCGGGUCCCACUCCAGCACCAGGAGCUCAUCUAUUACACAGCACGGCGAUCAUAAACCGAUUUUUAUUCUGGGUGGGCGUGUGCGAGUUAUACUUAUCUCUUUCCCUCAUCAGAUUGUGAUUUCCUGAAGGGCACGGGCUACUCCUAUUCAACUUUUUAUCCCUACAUCUAGCACCUAGAACUGUGUGAUCACUCAGCGGUGACUGAGGUGAAGAGGGGAGGGAAGGAAAAAAGCGAGGACAGGAGAAAGGUCUGGGUGCUUGAGAAAGCCUCUCCUUUGCUUCAGAGGCUUGUUCUGGGGCUUCUGGAUUUUCGGUCCUUGGGGGCAGGCUGCGAGCUCUCACUGGCCCUUGGUGGUUCUUUCCAGGCUCCCCGUCAGCCUCACAGGGUUGUUGUAAACUGCUCUCGGAAAGGAGUCACAGAGGGAGCCCGUGCUAGGAUCACCCGUGCACUGAACACCCAGCUCAUCCCAGUGGCUAUUUCAGAGUGGAAGAUGGCAAAACGUUUUGAUUUCACUUUGUUUAAAAGCAAGUUGUUCCUUUUCCUGACUUUUAUAUCCCAAGGCUAAGAAACAGUAUAAAACAACUUUUAAAAAUGUAUUUCAAUGUUAUCCAUUGUUCACUAAAAGAGGGUCAUAAAGGGCACAAGAUGAGAGGAGACGCCGGGGCUCAUGUGAGUCGCUCGCGGAACGCAUUGGGAGAGCCCUUUCAAAAGAUUUGAUUUAGGAAGCAGGAAAUGAUUAAAACCGGAUGGCUCUGAUGAAAAUUAGAUUUAAAUUUUUCAUUAAAUUUGCAUAGUUGGAUGUAAUUUUACUUACGAUCUCCCCUAUAUUCCCUGCCUACAACAUUCAAAACAGGUAAGGCCAGGUGAACACCUGUGCGCGUAUGUAUGGGUGUAGGUACGCACACAUAUUUUUAAAUUAUCGAGUCCGGAUGAGAGUUUUUCUUAUGACAUACAGAUGUACAACAGUGUAUCCCCAGAUAUGUUUAAUUCACUUUCAUUACCAGCCCAUCUCUUUGCCACAUAAUCGUCACACAGUGGUUCCAACAGGACACCUGAGCGUGGAACGCCGACCCAGCCUUUAAAACACAAGUUUCGGAUUUGGUAUUUUAGCAGGUAAAAGUUCAGUUUUUGGUUUUAUCCUUAGAAGAGAGUACGUACAUAGCAUUUACUCCAUUUUUGUAAGGUAAAGACCGAUAAAUCCCCAAAGGCCUUGGCAUUUAGGACAAGGUUAAUGCUUUAUCCAUAAAUUUACUCCUUAAACUCUGUGAUUCCUUGUAUCCAAGUGAGAUACCCUGUUGGCUGGACAAUGGCCUAUAUCUUAAAUAUGCAGAGACCCUCCCGAGCACACGGAGUGUGAAGGAACCAUCGCGAAUGGACAAUUAGAAGUCCUAGCGAGUUUAGCCAUCUCUGGGUGUCUAAAAUAAGAAUGCCAGGGUAUGACUGAUACCCGGGAGAGCCUCUGGACUUCUCUACGUGAUGAUUAGCCUUCACUUUAUGGAGGCGUGACAACAACAUAAUAAUAGCCACCGUUUAUUUAUCUACUCCUGAAUGCUUACCAUGUGAGGGCGAAAGCCUCGUUAAUUCUUAUCUUAUUCAGUCCUCACAACAGUCCUGUGAAGUAGGUACUAUCAUCAUCCCAUUGUGUAACAAACAAACUGAGGGUUAGAGACGUUAAUUAACUUGUCCCAGGUCGGACGACUAAAAACGUUUGGGAGCCAUUUUUUUGAAUAAAAUUCUAACAAAGUCUACGUUUUAAACCGUUGUAAAGUCUUCCUGGUAAGACACACGUCUGUGGGAUCCCGUGAUUUGUAGUUAUUCAUUUUGUGUAUAGCUUGACGGAGAAAGUAUCAUUCUCGUUGCCUACACAUAAAAGCUUCAAACUGA